UACGUAGGGUGCGAGCGUUGUCCGGAAUUACUGGGCGUAAAGAGCUCGUAGGCGGUGUGUCACGUCGGCCGUGAAAACCUGCAGCUUAACUGUGGGCGUGCGGUCGAUACGGGCAUCACUGGAGUUCGGCAGGGGAGACUGGAAUUCCUGGUGUAGCGGUGAAAUGCGUUGAGAUCGGAAGGAACGCCCGUGGCGAAAGCGAGCCCCUGGACGUCUACUGACGCUGAGACGCGAAAGCCAGGGGAGCGAACGGG
rnacentral:rRNA from 1 species